rnacentral:tRNA from 1 species
GGAGCGGUAGUUCAGCUGGUUAGGAUGCUGGCCUGUCACGCCGGAGGUCGCGGGUUCGAGUCCCGUCCGCUCCGCCA